rfam:Triticum urartu cultivar G1812 contig537652, whole genome shotgun sequence.
CCGAUCCAGAGAUCGUCUCCAAAAUUCUCGCCGGACUGGACAUGGAAUAUAGCCCUGUUGUCUCGGCGCUUGCUGCUCGGGUGGAACCGAUCACGGUUCAGGAGCUCUAAGCCAGCUCCUGAGCUUUGAUG